AUGGCGGCCGUCGGCAGGCUGCCGGGCGCGGCGGCGGCCCUGCUGCUCGCGCUGCUCUGCCUGGCGGGGACGUCGGCGGCGACCAACGUGACGUACGACCACCGCGCGCUGGUCAUCGACGGCGUGCGCCGCGUGCUCGUCUCCGGCUCCAUCCACUACCCGCGGAGCACCCCCGACAUGUGGCCGGGGCUGAUGCAGAAGGCCAAGGACGGCGGGCUGGACAUGGUGGAGACGUACGUCUUCUGGGACGCCCACGAGCCCGUCCGGGGACAGUACGACUUCGAGGGCAGGAAUGACCUGGUGAGGUUCGUCAAGGCCGCCGCCGACGCCGGGCUCUACGUGCACCUCCGGAUCGGCCCCUACGUCUGCGCCGAGUGGAACUACGGAGGCUUCCCGCUAUGGCUGCACUUCAUCCCGGGGAUCAAGUUCCGCACCGACAACGAGCCUUUCAAGACGGAGAUGCAGCGGUUCACGGAGAAGGUGGUGGCGACGAUGAAGGGCGCGGGGCUGUACGCGUCGCAGGGCGGGCCCAUCAUCCUGUCGCAGAUCGAGAACGAGUACGGCAACAUCGACGCGUCCUACGGCGCGCCCGGCAAGUCGUACAUCCGCUGGGCCGCCGGGAUGGCCGUCGCGCUCGACACCGGCGUGCCCUGGGUCAUGUGCCAGCAGGCCGACGCGCCGGCGCCCCUGAUCAACACGUGCAACGGGUUCUACUGCGACCAGUUCACGCCGAGCCUGCCCAGCAGUCCCAAGCUGUGGACCGAGAACUGGAGCGGCUGGUUCCUCUCCUUCGGCGGCGCCGUGCCCUACCGCCCCACCGAGGACCUCGCCUUCGCCGUCGCCCGCUUCUACCAGCGCGGCGGCACCCUGCAGAACUACUACAUGUACCACGGCGGGACCAACUUCGGCCGCAGCUCGGGAGGGCCCUUCAUCUCCACGAGCUACGACUACGACGCCCCCAUCGACGAGUACGGGCUAGUGAGGCAGCCAAAGUGGGGCCACUUGAGGGAUGUCCACAAGGCGAUAAAGAUGUGCGAGCCUGCACUCAUAGCAACCGAUCCAUCAUACAUGUCCCUUGGUCAAAAUGCUGAGGCGCACGUAUACAAGACCGGUUCACUGUGCGCCGCAUUCCUCGCCAAUAUAGACAAUCAGUCUGACAAGACUGUCACCUUCAACGGCAAGGCGUAUAAACUCCCUGCGUGGUCCGUCAGCAUCCUUCCUGACUGCACGAAUGUGGUGCUGAACACUGCCCAGAUCAACUCUCAGGUAGCAUCUACACAGAUGAGAAACCUGGGGUUCAGCACUCAGGCGUCAGACGGCUCGUCCGUCGAAGCAGAACUCGCUUCUUCUACCUGGAGCUACGCCGUAGAGCCUGUCGGUAUCACAAAGGAGAACGCCAUGACAAAGCCUGGGCUGAUGGAGCAGAUAAACACCACCGCAGACGCCAGCGAUUUCCUGUGGUACUCAACAAGCAUCGUCGUGGCGGGUGGUGAACCGUAUCUGAAUGGUAGUCAGUCCAAUCUGCUGGUCAACUCACUUGGGCAUGUUCUUCAGGUCUUCAUCAAUGGCAAGUUUGCAGGUAGCGGUAAGGGUAAUGCUAGUAGCUCCCUGAUCUCAUUGACAACACCAGUUACACUUGUACCUGGAAAGAAUAAAAUAGAUCUUCUGAGUGCAACAGUUGGUCUGACGAACUAUGGUGCAUUCUUUGACCUAGUUGGUGCUGGAAUUACCGGUCCAGUAAAGCUGACUGGGCCGAAGGGUGCGCUCGAUCUAUCUUCUGCAGAUUGGACAUACCAGAUCGGACUCAGAGGAGAAGACUUGCACCUGUAUAAUCCCUCAGAGGCCUCUCCAGAAUGGGUAUCAGAUAACUCUUACCCAACCAAUAACCCUUUGACCUGGUACAAGAGCAAAUUUACAACUCCUGCAGGUGAUGAUCCUGUUGCCAUAGACUUCACAGGAAUGGGGAAAGGUGAGGCGUGGGUGAACGGGCAGAGCAUUGGUCGCUACUGGCCGACAAAUAUCGCUCCACAAAGUGGCUGUGUUAAUUCAUGCAACUACAGAGGACCUUACGGCGCAAGCAAAUGCCUGAAGAAAUGUGGGCAGCCAUCGCAGACUUUGUAUCAUGUGCCCCGUUCGUUUCUCCAACCAGGCAGCAAUGAUAUAGUCCUUUUCGAGCAGUUUGGUGGUGACCCAAGCAAGAUAUCCUUCACGACGAAACAGACAGAAAGUGUAUGCGCACACGUGUCUGAGGAUCAUCCCGACCAAAUCGAUAGCUGGAUCUCUCCCCAGCAGAAAUUACAGAGGUCUGGGCCAGCACUUCGUCUGGAAUGCCCCAAAGAAGGUCAGGUCAUCAGCAGCAUCAAGUUUGCAAGCUUCGGGACACCGAGUGGCACCUGUGGGAGCUACAGCCAUGGCGAAUGCAGCAGCUCUCAGGCUCUGGCAGUCGCUCAGGAGGCAUGCGUCGGGGUGAGCAGUUGCAGUGUGCCGGUGUCAGCAAAGAACUUCGGAGAUCCAUGCAGAGGAGUCACAAAAAGCCUUGUGGUCGAAGCUGCAUGCUCAUGA
rnacentral:rRNA from 1 species